rnacentral:rRNA from 1 species
GACGAACGCUGGCGGCGUGCCUAACACAUGCAAGUGGAGCGACGAACCGGGCUUCGGCCCGGGGCAAAGCCGCGAACGGGUGAGUAACACGUGGGUAACCUGCCCUGAUGAUCGGGACAACCCGAGGAAACUCGGGCUAAUACCGAAUGUGCCCUCCGGCCAUAAGGCCACUGGGGAAAGGAAGCUUCGGCCUCCGCAUCGGGAUGGGCCCGCGGCCCAUUAGCUUGUUGGUGAGGUAACGGCUCACCAAGGCAAUGAUGGGUAGCUGGUCUGAGAGGACGAUCACG